UACCAGCACCCCGAGUGGCCGGGACGUUUAUUGGGCCUAAAGCAUCCGUAGCCGGUUCUACAAGUCUUCCGUUAAAUCCACCUGCUUAACAGAUGGGCUGCGGAAGAUACUAUGGAGCUAGGAGGCGGGAGAGGCAAGCGGUACUCGAUGGGUAGGGGUAAAAUCCGUUGAUCCAUUGAAGACCACCAGUGGCGAAGGCGGCUUGCCAGAACGCGCUCGACGGUGAGGGAUGAAAGCUGGGGGAGCAAACCGG
rnacentral:rRNA from 1 species